rnacentral:rRNA from 1 species
GAUGAACGCUAGCGGCAGGCUUAACACAUGCAAGUCGAGGGGUAACAGGGAUUGCUUGCAAUCCGCUGACGACCGGCGCACGGGUGCGUAACGCGUAUACAAUCUACCUUUUACAGGGGGAUAGCCCGAAGAAAUUCGGAUUAAUACCCCAUAAUAUUGAUAAAUCGCAUGGUUUAUUAAUUAAAGUUUCGGCGGUAAAAGAUGAGUAUGCGUUCUAUUAGUUAGUUGGUAAGGUAACGGCUUACCAAGACAUCGAUAGAUAGGGGUCCUGAGAGGGAGAUCCCCCACACUGGUACUGAGACACGGACCAGACUCCUACGGGAGGCAGCAGUGAGGAAUAUUGGACAAUGGGCGAGAGCCUGAUCCAGCCAUGCCGCGUGCAGGAAGACUGCCCUAUGGGUUGUAAACUGCUUUUAUACAGGAAGAAACCACUUUACGUGUAGAGUGCUGACGGUACUGUAAGAAUAAGCACCGGCU